rnacentral:siRNA from 1 species
CGGAGGAUUGGACUACUUGGG